UGGGGAAUAUUGGACAAUGGGGGAAACCCUGAUCCAGCGACGCCGCGUGUGUGAAGAAGGCCUGCGGGUUGUAAAGCACUUUUAGUGGGGAUGAAAUGUGCAGGGCUAACACCUCUGCAUUUUGACCUAACCCACAGAAAAAGCACCGGCUAACUCUGUGCCAGCAGCCGCGGUAAUACAGAGGGUGCAAGCGUUAAUCGGAAUUACUGGGCGUAAAGCGUGCGUAAACGGUUACAUAAGUCGGGUGUGAAAGCCCCGGGCUCAACCUGGGAAUUGCAUUCGAGACUGCGUAGCUAGGGUGCGGAAGAGGGAAGCGGAAUUUCCGGUGUAGCGGUGAAAUGCGUAGAUAUCGGAAGGAACACCAGUGGCGAAAGCGGCUUCCUGGUCCAGCACCGACGUUCAGGCACGAAAGCGUGGGGAGCAAACA
rnacentral:rRNA from 1 species